rnacentral:tRNA from 1 species
GGAGAGAUGGCCGAGUGGACGAAGGCGCACGACUCGAAAUCGUGUAGGCGGCAACGUCUCGGGGGUUCAAAUCCCUCUCUCUCCG